rnacentral:rRNA from 1 species
AGGACGAACGCUGGCGGCGUGCUUAACACAUGCAAGUCGAACGGUGAAGAAGAGCUUGCUCUUUGGAUCAGUGGCGAACGGGUGAGUAACACGUGAGUAACCUGCCCUUGACUCUGGGAUAAGCGUUGGAAACGACGUCUAAUACCGGAUACGACCUUCGGAGGCAUCUCCUGGGGGUGGAAAGAAUUUUGGUCAAGGAUGGACUCGCGGCCUAUCAGCUUGUUGGUGAGGUAAUGGCUCACCAAGGCGACGACGGGUAGCCGGCCUGAGAGGGUGACCGGCCACACUGGGACUGAGACACGGCCCAGACUCCUACGGGAGGCAGCAGUGGGGAAUAUUGCACAAUGGGCGAAAGCCUGAUGCAGCAACGCCGCGUGAGGGACGACGGCCUUCGGGUUGUAACCGUCUUUAGUAGGACGAAGCGAAGUGACGGUACCUGCAGAAGAAGCACCGGCUAACUACGUGCCAGCAGCCGC